rnacentral:rRNA from 1 species
GAUCAUGGCUCAGAUUGAACGCUGGCGGCAUGCUUUACACAUGCAAGUCGAACGGUAACAGGCCUUCGGGUGCUGACGAGUGGCGAACGGGUGAGUAAUGCAUCGGAACGUGCCCAAUCGGUGGGGGAUAACGUAGCGAAAGUUACGCUAAUACCGCAUAAGCCCUGAGGGGGAAAGCAGGGGACCGCAAGACCUUGCGCGAAUGGAGCGGCCGAUGUCAGAUUAGCUAGUUGGUGGGGUAAAGGCCUACCAAGGCGACGAUCUGUAGCGGGUCUGAGAGGAUGAUCCGCCACACUGGGACUGAGACACGGCCCAGACUCCUACGGGAGGCAGCAGUGGGGAAUUUUGGACAAUGGGCGCAAGCCUGAUCCAGCCAUGCCGCGUGCGGGACGAAGGCCUUCGGGUUGUAAACCGCUUUCAGCCGGAAAGAAAUCGCCAAGGCUAAUAUCCUUGGUGGAUGACGGUACCGGAAGAAGAAGCACCGGCUAACUACGUG